CGAUGAACGCUAGCGGGAGGCUUAACACAUGCAAGUCGAGGGGCAGCAUUCACUUCGGUGAGAUGGCGACCGGCGCACGGGUGCGUAACGCGUAUGCAACCUACCUUAUACAAAGGGAUAGCCCAUGGAAACGUGGAUUAAUACCUUAUGGUACUAUAAAGCUGCAUAGCUUAAUAGUUAAAACUUCGGUGGUAUAAGAUGGGCAUGCGUAUGAUUAGCUAGUUGGUGGGGUAACGGCCCACCAAGGCGACGAUCAUUAGGGGUUCUGAGAGGAUUAUCCCCCACACUGGUACUGAGACACGGACCAGACUCCUACGGGAGGCAGCAGUGAGGAAUAUUGGUCAAUGGGCGAGAGCCUGAACCAGCUAUCCCGCGUGCAGGAUGACGGCCCUAUGGGUUGUAAACUGCUUUUCUACGCCAAGAAACCUUACUACGAGUAGUAAGUUGACCG
rnacentral:rRNA from 1 species